rnacentral:rRNA from 1 species
UACGGAGGGGCGAGCGUUAUUCGGAAUUAUUGGGCGUAAAGGGCGCGUAGGCGGCCUUGCAAGUCAAAGGUGAAAUCCCUCGGCUCACUGAGGAACUGCCUUUGAAACUGCAAGGCUUGAGGCCGGGAGGGGUAGCGGAAUUCCCAGUGUAGCGGUGAAAUGCGUAGAUAUUGGGAGGAACACCAGUAGCGAAGGCGGCUCGCUGGGCCAUUCCUGACGCUGAGACGCGAAAGCGUGGGGAGCAAACAGGG